UGCAAGUCGAGCGCUUCACUUCGGUGAGGAGCGGCGGACGGGUUAGUAACGCGUGGGAACAUACCCUUUUCUAAGGAAUAGCCACUGGAAACGGUGAGUAAUACCUUAUACGCCCUUCGGGGGAAAGAUUUAUCGGUGAAGGAUUGGCCCGCGUUAGAUUAGUUUGUUGGUGGGGUAAUGGCCUACCAAGACUACGAUCUAUAGCUGGUUUGAGAGGAUGAUCAGCAACACUGGGACCGAGACACGGCCCAG
rnacentral:rRNA from 1 species